GCCGCGGUGGUGGAAUGGCAUACACGCAAGACUUAAAAUCUUGUGACCGAAUAGGUCGUGAGAGUUCGACUCUCUCCCGUGGCA
rnacentral:tRNA from 1 species